AGCAGGAUAAGUUUAACCACAUUUCUCGCAAGGUUAAGAAGCUGCACAUGUCAAAUUACUGUACUGUCCUGCCUGCCUCCUGCACAAGUUCCCUGCUAACAUACAACAGUAUUUUCUCAGGAUUGGCUACAAACUUUGUCUUUGGUGUGAGACCUAAAGCACAGUUGACCUGAGUGAGCCCCAAUGCUGAUGCAUAGUGGUUAGGAGACAGAGUGCCAGCUGCCAUCACUGAAUUUCCUGGGUUUGAUCAGUUCAGAAUGCCAACAUCUCAUGACCUGAACCAGCAGUCAGUGAUCUGCACUGCUCCACUGCAAGAACAAGAGAGGCGUUCACUCUGCAGACCUUUUCACCCCCGACCUUUCUGCUGAGAUUGGCAACAGAGAGGCCAAUUAAUGCCAGGGAUUGGCGGAGGCUGGAGGGAAGGGGGUUCUGAAGGGGCCACACCUGCCCCCGGGGAAGCUGGGCUGAGUCCCAUCCGUUCAUUUCACAAAGGCAACCAAGAGCCUUUUAUUUUUCAUUUGCAAGGAAGUGAAGCAAACAAACCAGAGAAAACCGCCCCUCCCGUUCUGACAUGUUGAGUGCCAAAUUUCAGAUCAAACCUUCAUGGCCAAGUUGGAAUGCAAUGAAAACAGGAGCUUUGUUCUAAUGGAAAUGCUGUGAACUCUUUAACUUUAGCACCACUACCGACGUGGCUCUAACACUGUACAUUGCUGCUAAGAGCUUCCAGGGACCGUGGGUGGUGGGUGAGGAGAAGGAAAGAGGUGGUUUAGCUAUGUGCAAUAUUUCCCAUAAGAAAUAAAGGGAUAUAGUCUCACCUCACUGCCUGUUUUUCCACAUACAUGGAGACGGAGCAUGUUUAUAUAACCCUAUUAAAGGGGAACACUCAGUAGCAAACCUGGUCUUUAAAUAGCUACUGUUCUACAUUCUCCUGUCUCCAAACUCCUCAAUUCCAUCUCACACCCACUUAAAUUCUUUUUGAAAUACCCCUCAGCUUGUCUGUGACUUUGGGCCAAAUCCACAGUUCAUUGAUGCCAAUGGAAAGAUUCUUGUUGUUUUCAGUGGUCUCUGGAGCAGGCCCUUGGAGCCUUAAUACUAUGAUGCUAAGAGCAAUAGAUUAGAUAGACAAAGAGAGAAUAUACAUCACGGCCUAAUUCUGCUUUCCACUGAAACGAAUGGGAAUGCUCCGAUUUACUUCAAUGGGGAUAGGCUCAGAGCCUUUAUUAUUGGCAUUUAAUAAUAAUAACUACUUUCAUUGGUAGACCUCAAAGAGCUUUAUAAAAGAGAUAACCCCAUUUUACAGAGGGUGAGACUGAGGCACAGAGGCGUGAUGUACCUUGCCCAUGGUCACCCAGCAUACCAGAGGCAGAGCUCGGACUAAAACCAUGUCUUCUGAGUCUGGUCCACUAGGCAAUACUGCCUAGGGCUUGAUCCUGCCAGAUGCUGAGCAAUUCCCAGAGCUGCUUAGCACUUUCAUCUCCUAUCGAUGUGAAUAGGAGUUGCGGGUACCCAGCAUGCUUCCAUCAGUUCUUGAACAUUCAUAAAUAUAUUAAAAAAAGAAAACCUAUAAAUAUAUUAGUUCGCGUUUGAUUUUUUCCCGGCGUUAAUAUUUUCCCUUCGACUCCUGUUAUUUUAGUUCCAUUUAGCAAAUGCUUUUUUUAACCCAGUGUUUGUCCAGCUACCCUAAGCUUCCCCCUCGCCCCCUUUCCCUUAAAACCCUUUUGCCUCCUUCAAUGCACUGAGUGGAUUUACAGCUUACAGUGGCACCGCUUUUGCAGUUCGCAGGCGGAAGGGCCAUAAAAAGAUUUACAGUUACACCAAGAGUCAGUUGCAUGGAGGCUCGGGAUCCAAAUUAGACAAAGGGAGGCAGGCAGCGUGAGUGGCCCGUAAAAUAAGUUUGGAAACGAAAACAAAUGAAACUGCUGUUAAAGGGCGGGGGGAGGAGUUCCCUCUUAGCUGAAUGGUGCUGCUGCGGCAGCUCUGUUAAUUCUGUUAUAUGAAGCCUUUUUUCCUCCCUUUUCCCCCUUUCGGGUGGUGUUGUUGUUGGACAGAUUUCUUUUGAAAACACAAAGCUCAAGCUGGAGCAGCAGCAACUUUGCACAGUAGUUGAGAUUCUAAAGCAGAUAUUCCCAGGGUGUUGGCAGCUGCUCUUUCUGCUGUCGCUGGGACUUUUAAGAUGCAAACGCGAGUGAGCAAAACCCAAGGACUAACACCAGCCCGUUGGGGCAGAAGACUAGAGGCUGCAUUGUAGAAGGUUAAUCUUGAUACUCAGAGGUGUUAGAAACGUGGAACACAUGAAGAAUGUAAACUAUGUUAAGGACCUGAUCCUGUUCCCACUGGAGUUUCGCCACUAACUUCAUUGGGAACAGGGGCAGACCUGAUCCCAUGACAAACUGAAGUGAGCGAGAAUUUUGCUAUUAAUUUGAAAGGGAGCAAGAUCAGCCCAAUAGAUCAUCACUAGGGUACGGCCAGACUUUUCCAAAGGACUCAGGACAUUGGGUAUUGAUCUCAUUUCAAAAUCUGGCCAUAACGGUCACAAUGGGAGCUUCUGCUGCUGAGCACUUUGGAAAACCUGACCCUUGGUUAGGUGCCUAAAAGGGUACAAAGCUCUUCUCAGCAAUCUGCCUCUCAGCGCAUAUUCAUGCUGUAGAGCUGCUUGAUUAUGUAGUCAAUUAAUUACACAGGACUGCUCAAAUAAAUCAUGCUGUGGCUAUAUAGUAUAAGCAACUUAGACAGCUCUGGCAUGCCUGUGUUGUGUGGUAUAUAUGAUGAUAUCCUAUCUCCUAGAACUGGAAGGGACCUUGAAAGGUCAUUGAGUCCAGCCCCCUGCCUUCACUAGCAGGACCAAGUACUGAUUUUGCCCCAGAUCCCUAAGGGGCCCCCUCAAGGAUUGAACUCACAAUGCUGGGUUUAGCAGGCCAAUGCGCAAACCACUGAGCUAUCCUUCCCCCCCCUUCAUUUGCCAUAUUGCUGACAUUGCAUUAAUCAGUUUUCCCAGUCAACUUCCAGUUCUAACCACUUCCCCUCCAAAUUUCACCUGUAGAGUCAAAUAGAUACAGUCUUCUUCAUUUCCUGUCUUAAUUGUUAUGCAGUGUUGCUGUUAAAACAGCUGCUGUGUGUUAGUAGAUGUCAUAAUUCCUAAUAGUUCCUAGCUCAUGCUGGGUAGUAGCAUCUAGUUUGAGUUAGCAAAGUAUUUUCUCUUAGGUCACUUUGUAAAGAACUUUAAGAUCCUUCUUGAUGAAAAGCACUACAUAAAUGUAGGUCUUUCAUGGUGGCUACAUAUCCUCUGAGUUUUACAAACGCUGGUUGUCUCCAGGAGAAAAAAUAACCAUAUCCUCUUAUCCGAUUUCCCCUUUAGGACCAGUUAAUCCUCUUUCAUGAAAAGAAACUCCUAAAAGAAGAUGGGGAAUAUUUCUGGAAGGAUUUGGCUAGUGUCUGCUUUUUAUUGGGAGAAACCACCAGCCUGCUAAGGCGGUUGAAACAGAACUUAAAUAGCACUCAUGCCUCCAUUAACAUAUAAAAGCUAAUGACAACAGCCAGGCAGUCAUCUCUCACCCCUUUUCUCCCCCUGAUUUCAACCCAUAUAUGCACAAGCCUUCAUGCAGGCCUCAGACAAAUUAAGUGUGUGGCUCUGUGUUUGCUUUGUAUAUAUUUGCAGUGUUGGGCUCUGCACUCUGCAAUGUUAGUUGUCUAGCCAGCUGGCACCCUCUCUAACUGAUGGUAUACAUAGUGCUAUACAAACCUCAAGUGACCAUUCAGGACACUGAUGGAUUUUUGUGACUACCCCUGGGGAUUUUCAACAGCACAUUGAACUGUUACAUAUGCUGCCACCUCAGGUUUGCUCUCCCUCAUAGCUUUCUCUAUCUUUCAUGUUUUCUCAUCUCUUUUUUCUUUCUCCCUUUUUCUUCAGCCUCUCUUGUGAAAAGUGCCUUGACCCUCUGAAGUGAAGCCCUCUUAUGAAAGAAGCUCUUCAAAGGAAAUGAGACAAUUUUAUUAAGACUGGUCAAAACAUUUUCCUCAAAAAGUUUCCCCCGCCCCAAAUGAAAAAUUAUUUCUUGGAGACUAUAGGAAUAUUCAUGAAAAAAAUGAGAUUAUUUGACAUUUUCCAUUUUUUCUGACAAAACCAAAGAACAUCAUUUUGAACAGAAAUUGGAAUGGAAAUUUUAGCUUGUGAGAUAUUUUCCCCCUUUCUCUUCAUUUUUUUUCUUCCUCCCCCCAGAUGUCAUUAGAAAGAAAGGUGAAAACAACUUUUUUUUUAAAAAAUGUUUUAAUCCUGUCUGAUUGGAAUCAAAAUGAUUCCCUCCCCCCACACACACACUUUGAACCAUUUCAUCAAAAAAUUGGAAAAUUGUGGAAUUGUUUUUAAAGGAGGUGAACAGUUUUUGUUGGUUUGAAUUUUUUUCUCAGAAAAGAAUCCCCAGUGUUUGUCCAGCCCCAUUCAUGAUCCCUAAAGAAAAUGCAAGAAGAUUUGAAACCCUUACUUUUUAAACCAGAGGUGCCAGUGUCAUAGACCACUGCAAUCAAGACCCACUGGCAUGUCAAAGACUUUCAAAAAGGCUGGUCUUAAAGUCCCCCUCUUCCACUGGUAUUGAGCUGUGCUCUGUGAGUCCCCUAGAAUGUUGCUUUGAUUCCUUUGUUGCUGACAUUAAUGUUAUUCUUCCCCCUCCCCCCCACACACACACUUCAUUUUUGCUUCAUUUCAACUCUCCUUCUAUUCUGGGAGUGAACUCUCUAUAUAUUUAGCCCACUGAAAAUUACUCACAUUAACUCUCCUCCUCAUUCACAAGAGACCCGCCUUCUGACACAUGCAGGGCAGAUGUGCUGCUGUCAUCCUGGCUGCAUGGAGGUGCUGCAGUACUGUGUAUAGUUCAGCUUGCCCUCCCACCCACAGCGGGAGAAAUCCCUUAGCUACAGAGUUGCUCAGCCCAUCAAACUGAUGCAACAUUUAAAAUGGCCUGACUUAACCUAAGCCCCCCCACCUGUGUUUUAAGCUGCUUUUGCCUGUGUCGUCUCGUGUGUAAUAGUGAAAUAAAUACGUGUGUGUCUUUAACUGUGA